GCUGCACCCGUUCCCUUUCCGAACACGGCCGUGAAACGCCCCUGCGCCCAUGGUACUUCGUCUUAAGACGCGGGAGAGUAGGUCGCUGCCAGGU
rnacentral:rRNA from 1 species